GGUCGGUUAGCUCAGUUGGUCAGAGCGUGGUAUGUGUUCACCUUCCUCGAAUGAACCAACACCUGUACUAAUCCACCACAGGUGCUAAUAUCAACAUGUUAACGCCAAGGUCGCGGGUUCGACCCCCGUACUGACCA